AACACUGAUUUCGAAAAAAGGUAAAAAGAUAAAAGUGACCAGUCAAGCAGAAAUAUUUGAGUUGUUUAGAGAAAGACUACAUAGGUAAUUUCGCAAACCACUCUAACUGUCACCGCCUAAAUCUCUGCUUUACCAAGAUUUUCCUUCGCAUCUCUCUUUUCGCUUUGUUUAGAUUCCCUUGGCUUCUCCACUGACGCAUCAAUUUCUGCUAUAUAUUGACAAGAGAUUGUGAUUUUUGCUGAGUUUUUGCAAUUCAAUAUUUGCUCCAUCAAGAUAAUCACAAAGUUAGAAGGUUAGUUUUACUCUUCCGUUUCUUUUCCUUCAACUGUUGUUGGGUUUGGAUUGUUUUCUCGAGGAUCUGCCUAAAUUAAUUCAACUUAGCAGUUUACACUCGAUUUGUUUAUGCAAUUUGUAUAAUCCAAGCCCUUAAAAUUUCUCUAUUCCAAUUUCGGUCUGCAAUUUUUGUUGCAAUGUUUGUGGUAUUUCAAAUUUGCAUAUGCUUGUUAAUCCAUCUUUGUCCUUCAGAGUUAGAUUAUAAACUUCAUGUAUACCGAGAGAUAAAGACGAGAAGUAGUACUUGGAACAAAACAAAGAGGUAAAAAUUGCUAUUCCUUAUAGAUAGCUAUUUUGUGUAUGAAUUAUUUCCAGUAAUGUUUGACUAAAUGGUUUAGUUACAUGAAAAUCUUAGUUUUGUCGUGCUGCUUCUUGAAUUUAUCCUUAAAAGAGAAAAAACGGAAGUUAAUUGGUCAGAACAACUGAAAUCUGAGUAGUAUUCUCAGUUUGUUAAAAAUCUUAGUUUUGUCGUGGUGCUUCUUGAAUUUAUCCUUAAAAGAGAACAAACGGAAGUUAAUUGGUCAGCACAACUGAAAUCUGAGUAGUAUUCUCAGUUUGUUAAAGUAUCUAUUAUUUUUACUUUACUAUCUUAAAAAUAUAGGCUCUAGCGACACCAAUAACUAUAUAGAUUCAAAAUUGAUGUAGAAAGGGGAAGUUUUCUACCUAAUAAUAUCGUGUAAUUUUUUAUAUUCUCUACCUGAGAAUAUCAAAUGUAAUUUUUUAUAUUUUAAGGUUAUGAUUUUUAUCCCAAUUGGAUGUACCUGUUGUAUCAUAAUGUGUGUCUGUUUACCUUAUUGUUCAACCUGCCUGGGCUACUAUUUGUUGAAUUUACAACGAAAAUAUACUAAGUGAUAAUUUUGUUAAUGUCUGAAAGUGAAUUUUUUGUAGCGACAAUGCUUGGUGAACAGAUUGAUGAGAUUUGAAUUAUCAGGAGUAUCUGCCAUAACUAUGGAUCAGUAAAUUUCAGCAGUUUCUACCCUUGAAUUUCUUUACGACGAGGCAUUUGAAAUCUCUUUUGUGGGUUCCAAUAAUAAUUUCCUUAAAAACGUUUAUUAGAUAUACUAUUCAGUAGUUGUUAUUGAUAUACGUGUAGGGAAAACCAUAAUUUUAUAAAACUUAGUUUCUAUGACCUUCUUCGUGGGGCGCCUACCGUACAAGUAAUGAAUGAUGCAGAGUAUUGAUUAGUCGAGUCUAGCAUAAUAUAGUGAUGGCAUAAAGUGGCUAAUUUUCACCCAAAUUUUGGCCUUAAAACAACUCUUGUUCCCCUUCAAAGUCUUUCCAUCUAUUCUUUCUCCUAAUCCUUCCAUGGGGUUAUGAAUGGAUUCUCUCAAAAUUUAUCCAUUUCUCCCGUAGGGAUUUCAUAGAGAGAAUAUAUAAAGUAUACUUUGUUUGCAAAGUUAAUCCAUCGAAGGUUUUUAUCAAUAUCCGGUAUGACUAGAUUAAUCUUUUAAUAUCUUUAGUUGUACAUGUAAUUUUGGACUUUGGUUCGACUACUACUAUGUAUUUUUGUAUAUAUAGUUUGGACUAACAGGUAAACAUUCCUGAUUUGGUGAUUUUCCUGAAAUUUUAAAAUGUACUGCACAACAGAAAACAAAGCCUUCAGAAUAUUUAAAAUAUUUUUCUAAUUAUUUAGUCUUCCAUUAUGGCAAUUUGCAACAGAUUGCUCUUUGAAUUUUUGGUCUACAUGUUUAGAGGAAUAAACCUAGAUGGUCCCUUAUGACAUUGUCUCUACACAGACAAACAUACAUGUUUGCACAUUUGAGUAUCACUUCAUUUUUCUAAUUUUCUUCUGAGAGUUAAUUGUUGCAUUUCCUCGAAAGACAUGUGUCAGUGUUAAUUAAAAUGAUUUUCUUUAGGAAUAAUUUAGUUAAUCCUUAUUCUUCAGCAAAAUGUUUAUCCCUAAAUGAAUCACAGAUAGAACUACAGUACUAUUGGGAACAUAUAAAGUCCGUAGAAAAUAUAUUGUUAGAAUUUAAAUUAGAAGAAAUAAUAACUAUCACCAUCCCUACAAUAUUGAUAAAUGAUCAUUGAAGGAACAACGGAAAUGAUUCAAAAAAAUCUUUAUGUCUAAGGAAGGACAUUGUUCUGGAUAUGUAAAUUUAUAAUAGUGUUAACCUACAUGUUUACAUCUUAUCCACAUUUCUAUGUUUUUUUUGGUUGAUAAAUUUUGUUGGAAAUAUAAUGGCUUGAUUUCACAGGUUCUUCAAAGUGCUGGCCUGGGAAGCAGAAACAAUGCUUCUACUAAAAUACAUGACUUCGACUAUAUAGGUGAUUCUGCACUUCUUUAGUCUAUUGUCAUAUGCUUAUUAAUAAUGCUAAAUAGUUAUGCUUUAUAUUUCAUGUUAUUGUGUUAAUAUGUCUGUACUUUAGUAGUAGUAAAUUUAUAUGCCUACAAAUAAAAGAAAGAUGAACAACGCCUAAAUUGAGCAGAUCAGGAACGUUCAUAUCUUGGUGGAAAAAAUAGUGAGAAAUGCCUUAGAGAGAAAGGGUACAUAAUUAAUUUUCCAUAAGAGAGUAACAUUCAUUAACUUCUAGCACUAGCAAAUAUUUUUAUCUCAACUAUCAUGGUUCCUUACUUCGGCAGGGUACAAAUAUCUAAAUUUAAUAUUUUUAGAUACUUUAUAUUAGUGCAACACCAAGUGCAGUUACUGUACAGAAGACUUCAUCUGCACUACUCUCAUAUAAGACUAUAAAGCAAGUCAAACAAAUUCAAACACAAAUUAUAACUAAUGUAUUGGCUAUACCCAAUACAUUAUCCCUCCUCUUUUGUUAAAAUUUAUGGAAUUAAGCCAAUAAUUUAGGUUAGUAGACUCUAAAGUUUGUUACAAUCAAGAAUUUAAAGAGAAUUUUCAAAAAAUAUUUCUUUUAAUAAUUGUGAUGUACGGAUGUGUUACUUUCUACUUUUUUCAUUCUGGUAAUUUGUAUUACGCAUAUGCUAAAGCAUUUUUUAUUUUGCAUUUUCCAGGCCAGCUUGUUGUCUCGGUCGCAAGGUAAAAACACUCUGCUUCCUAAGAGCACGACAACUAUUAGGGACCUAAUAUAGCUGAUAGAACUACAGCAACAACAACAAGAAGAAAGUUAAUUAAUUGUAUAGAUUUUGAAUCAAAUUAUGUAGAUUUUGUUCAACUUUGCUUCACAGUUUGUAAACAAAAGUUUUUUAUGUUAAAUCAAAAAUUUAUAAGCUCCUUGGGCCCAGGCACCGCCCGGGCUACCGCCAACUAGUUUCGAAAGAAGGGGCGGCUGGAUCAUUUAUUAUUAUGCAAGGAAAGUCACGGCAAUUCAAUGAAAAUGAAUAUUCACGAGCAAAACUUGAA
rnacentral:lncRNA from 1 species